UACUGAUGAGGUGCAGGCUAGCAGCGCCCGCCAACCGGCACUGAGCCUUGGACAAUCGGAGGUCAUUGAGAUUAAACUCUGCUUGCUUCGCAUCCUCCAUAUGUUCAGCAUGGAUGGUGACUUUGGUCCAUUGCUUGAGCUUAUCAAGUUACACAGAAUGUAUGGGCUUUUGUUGGUCAUGGACGUUCCUUGGACAGUUGGAGAUCAUUGUGAUGUUGGUGUAAUUGGGCUUACUAAGUGCUCUGGUACUCAUGGUCUUCUUCCCUGUUUUGACACCUUUUUCCACAAUCAUGUCUUCCGCAGUGUUCGCAUCAAUGAGGCUGAAUGCAACAAAUCAAAGCUACUUGCAUAUAAGAUGCAGCAUGGAGAUAAUCUGAAGUUAAAAACUUCCCAUGGCUUGAAGAUAAAGAUCAAAAUCAAGGAAGUAGCUAGCACACUGAUGCCAUCACGGUCUAAAGCGUGUGUUAUGAUACUGAACAGACAAGGCCUUAUUAGAUGUCCAGUGAAGACCCCAUCCAACAGCUCAUCAGCUAACAAAAGGUCCCCUGAUCCAUCAGGUCAAUUAACCAGAGCAAGCACAUUUGACCAUGCAUCUUCUAGCAAAAGCGUUCCAUUUCUGAGGAAUGGAACAGUAACAAAAGAAAACCUAGCAGACACCUCCUUCUGCCACCAGAUUAAGCUCACAGCUGAAUUGAAGAGUUACAUCAAAGAGAUUGCAGAUUGUCUAGAAGAAUCAAACAAGUUCUAUGUAGUGCGUAUGAACAGAACAUUCAUGGAACAGGACAGAGUGUACUUUGCGACUGAGUUUUCAAAGAAAUACAUUGUGAACUUGGUUCGAGGCAAGACAGCAAACAUUAGAGUGCAGAUUGCAGGUCGACCCUCAACAACUUAACAUCAGGGUGGUUAGCUUUGCAGCAGCCAACAGCAUCAACUUACACAAUCUGCAUCUUCCACUUUUAUAGGACACAAGUCACCUCAUGCUCACCAUAGAUGCUCUGUGAAAGUUACCUGCAUCUUCAGUAGUCGCUGCUAUUAUCUACCCUGGAACGGCUACUAUAAUUCUCUCUAUUAUCCUUUGCUUGCGGUCUAUCUAACUUCACUUGCUCAGUAAGCACGUGACCUAUAACUGCUUAUCAUUGUCCUCAGCUCCUUUUGUUAUUCAUAAGCUGAGUGAACAAUUAACCACUUUAUGUACAAACAGCUAGCUUGUUAUACUACAGGUUACUAUGGUACU
rnacentral:lncRNA from 1 species